GUGCCUUAAAUUUAGGAGUAAGGAAAGUAACAACUCGGGAUGAUGGCCGUGUUCUCACUGUGAAUGUGAGAGGAAUGCAUUCACUGCUUCCCGUGGGCAG
rnacentral:snRNA from 1 species